UGGGUAAACUCCCAAGGAUCA
rnacentral:miRNA from 2 species